ensembl:lncRNA novel transcript
GUCAUGCUCAGCAAAGGGCUGCUCUCCUGGGGAGAGAUGCACGGGACAGCCUGGUUUCCCUGGUUCCUCCACCAUAGGCUGCUUUGGGGCGGGAAAUAACAAGAGCUGGCGGAUGCAGCCUCACCUCGCUAGAGCCAGGCAUUGUUCUGCACCGUUCUGGAGAUGCUGUUCUGCAUUUGCUAAGGUGGCCACGCGGUUUUCUUCCUGACUUUGCUAGCGUGAGCUCCAGGAAGGCGGGCCUGUCCGUGUUCACCGCUGAGCCCGCCCGGAAGGCACCGUUUACGAAGCACCUUGCACAUCCGGCUCCAUUCUGCACCCUGGCUUCCUCAUCUGGAAAAUGGGUCCAUCUCGGUGAUCUGGGCUGGAGACCUCGGACUCAGGGCAGUGCCAGCUGGGCCCCAAGUGGAGGUGACAGCUGGGGACCAGAAGGGGCUACCGCAUAGCCGGGGAGUGAGGGGCUGGUGCUGGCCAAGGCGCCUCUGACUGACCUCUGCUCUCUCGCCAAGUACCCAGGAGAUGUCCCAGAAAGAACGGCAGCUCCACUGAGAUCUUGAACCUC